GCAUUGGUGGUUCAGUGGUAGAAUUCUCACCUCUCAUGCGGGAGACCCCGGUUUGAUUCCCACCUGAUGCA
rnacentral:tRNA from 1 species